GGAACAUACACCGCCUGGAGCCACAAGGUCUCCCGACCCGUGCUCCGUGCCAAUUAACCUGUGAUGAUGAGCCUUGUGGAUGAUUGAUUAGCACGAAAGGACACACCAUGCACUCAGUGCUAUCAACUUCACCUUUAGUUCCUGAGGAGGACAAAGAUGAAGAAUCCGUGGCUGAGUCUGCAUCCACCUCAUCAAGGCAGCUUGAGUCCACACCACUUACCAGUGCUGAUGCAACAGAAGGUUGGAGGUAUGUUCAUUUGUUUUGUUUUAUUUGCUAAUUUUUUUCAUUCAUUUUAUUGACUAUUUAUUUUCUGUGUCUAAAUUGUAAAUGUUUUGUAUUUUGUGAAUGCUCUUUGCAUAUUUUGUAUUAUAUUUUGUAUACAUACUUGUUCAAGUUACCGUAUUUUUCGGACUAUAAGUCGCAGUUUUUUUCAUAGUUUGGCCGGGGGUGCGACUUAUACUCAGGAGCGACUUAUGUGUGAAAGUAUUAACACAUUACCGUAAAAUAUCAAAUAAUAUUAUUUAGCUCAGAGACUAGACGUAUAAGAUUUCAUGGGAUUUAGCGAUUAGGAGUGACAGAUUGUUUGGUAAACGUAUAGCAUGUUCUAU